rnacentral:rRNA from 1 species
CCUACGGGGGGCUGCAGUGGGGAAUAUUGGACAAUGGGGGCAACCCUGAUCCAGCCAUGCCGCGUGUGUGAAGAAGGCCCUCGGGUUGUAAAGCACUUUCAGUGAGGAAGAACGCCUGGUGGUUAAUACCCAUCAGGAAAGACAUCACUCACAGAAGAAGCACCGGCUAACUCCGUGCCAGCAGCCGCGGUAAUACGGAGGGUGCGAGCGUUAAUCGGAAUUACUGGGCGUAAAGCGCGCGUAGGUGGCUUGAUAAGCCGGUUGUGAAAGCCCCGGGCUCAACCUGGGAACGGCAUCCGGAACUGUCAAGCUAGAGUGCAGGAGAGGAAGGUAGAAUUCCCGGUGUAGCGGUGAAAUGCGUAGAGAUCGGGAGGAAUACCAGUGGCGAAGGCGGCCUUCCGGACUGACACUGACACUGAGGUGCGAAAGCGUGGGUAGCAAACAGGAUUAGAUACCCGUGUAGUC